GGGUUGUGAGGUUAAGCGACUAAGCGUACACGGUGGAUGCCCUGGCAGUCAGAGGCGAUGAAGGACGUGCUAAUCUGCGAUAAGCGUCGGUGAGGUGAUAUGAACCGUUAUAACCGGCGAUUUCCGAAUGGGGAAACCCAGUGUGAUUCGUCACACUAUCAUUAACUGAAUCCAUAGGUUAAUGAGGCGAACCGGGGGAACUGAAACAUCUAAGUACCCCGAGGAAAAGAAAUCAACCGAGAUUCCCCCAGUAGCGGCGAGCGAACGGGGAGCAGCCCAGAGCCUGAAUCAGUGUGUGUGUUAGUGGAAGCGUCUGGAAAGGCGCGCGAUACAGGGUGACAGCCCCGUACACAAAAAUGCACAUGCUGUGAGCUCGAUGAGUAGGGCGGGACACGUSGUAUCCUGUCUGAAUAUGGGGGGACCAUCCUCCAAGGCUAAAUACUCCUGACUGACCGAUAGUGAACCAGUACCGUGAGGGAAAGGCGAAAAGAACCCCGGCGAGGGGAGUGAAAAAGAACCUGAAACCGUGUACGUACAAGCAGUGGGAGCACAGAGCAAUCUGUGUGACUGCGUACCUUUUGUAUAAUGGGUCAGCGACUUAUAUUCUGUAGCAAGGUUAACCGAAUAGGGGAGCCGAAGGGAAACCGAGUCUUAACUGGGCGUUAAGUUGCAGGGUAUAGACCCGAAACCCGGUGAUCUAGCCAUGGGCAGGUUGAAGGUUGGGUAACACUAACUGGAGGACCGAACCGACUAAUGUUGAAAAAUUAGCGGAUGACUUGUGGCUGGGGGUGAAAGGCCAAUCAAACCGGGAGAUAGCUGGUUCUCCCCGAAAGCUAUUUAGGUAGCGCCUCGUGAAUUCAU
rnacentral:rRNA from 1 species